AAAGAGCUCGUAGGUGGUCUUCUACGUCUGCUGUGAAAAUCCAGGGCUUAACCCUGGACUUGCAGUGGAUACGGGUUGACUAGAGGUAGGUAGGGGAGAAUGGAAUUCCCGGUGUAGCGGUGAAAUGCGCAGAUAUCGGGAGGAACACCGGUGGCGAAGGCGGUUCUCUGGGCCUUACCUGACACUGAGGAGCGAAAGCGUGGGGAGCGAACAGGAUUAGAUACCCUGGU
rnacentral:rRNA from 1 species